rnacentral:ncRNA from 1 species
ACUCGCAUUCGCGAGAGAUCCUUCACUAAUGUUCAGGAUGACACAAAGUGAAAAUCUGUUCAGUGGAGCCAAUCAGCAGGGAAGACUACACUUUUAUUAAAAGUGUAGGACCCUCAGAGACUACAUGUUGGGGUGUGGUAAAACACACAUGAUAUAGUCCGACCCUUGUGGCGACACAAGGAACAUGGCAGAAAUGCCCAUGUCCUCUUUAAACAGAGAGCAACAAAGUGAACUGUUCUACGGUGGGAAGCUAAGCCGCCGUAGUAAAAUUUGGCUAUAUGCUGGAAUAGCUCACGUAUCUGACAGUACUUAAAGAUGUCAUUCUGAGUGAAACGAAGAAUCUCGCAGCUUGUCUGCGUCAACUCGCAUUCGCGAGAGAUCCUUCACUAAUGUUCAGGAUGACACAAAGUGAAAAUCUGUUCAGUGGAGCCAAUCAGCAGGAAAGAUCCCGAGAGAAAUCGAGGGAAAUCCUCAGACACUAAUAUGCCAGAGCUUGUAGUAUUACAGGUAAGAUAGAGUGCGCUCUGCGUAGCGAUGCGCAGUUGAUAAUUGGGUGACCAAUUAUGUAAAUAACCUAUAAGAAGCGAAGUUCCUUGUCGGGUAAGUUCCGACCUGCACGAAAGGCGUAACGAGUUGGCAGCUGUCUUGACCUUCUGCUCGGCGAAAUUGCAAUGGCUGUGAAGAUGCGGCCUAAUUGCACCAGGACAAAAAGACCCCGUGGAGCUUUACUGUAGCUUGACAUUUCCCAGCCAUUUUUUGAUUGCUUAGAAUAGGAGGGAGUCCGCCCGCAAGGGCGAGACGCCAGUGAAAUACCUCUCUUCAGAAAAUGGCGGGAUUACCCAUAAGCCCUGGAAACGGGUUUGGGGACAGUGUUUAGCGGACAGUUUCACUGGGGCGGUGUCCUGCUAAAGAGUAACGCAGGAGCACAAAGGUUGGCUUACCACCGAUGGAAACGGUGGUGGACGUGUAAGGGCAUAAGCCAGCUUGACUGUGAGACUGACGGGUCGAACAGGUACGAAAGUAGGUCCUAGUGAUCCUCGAUAGUUUUGUGGAAGACUACGAGCUUAACGGAUAAAAGCUACCCCGGGGAUAACAGAGUAGUCGCGCCCGAGCGUCCAUAGCGGCGGCGCGGUUCGCUACCUCGAUGUCGGCUCAACAUAUCCUGGGGCUGGAGAAAACAUUUACCUUCUCUCCCUGUCAGAAAUGGCAGGGUAAUAAACAAGCCCAAAACGGAGGAGGCCAUUAUUGUACAUCCCAGGUUUUUCUGGUAUGUUUUAAUAUGGUUGGUUCCGUAGGAAAAGGAUGUUCUGAAGCUGAUAGGGCAUAUAUUGCAGGUCUUAUUGAUUGUGAUGGUGCUAUUAUGGCAUCUAUCGAAUCACAUAAGGAGAAGAAAUUUAGAUUUCGUGUAAGAGUAAUUUUACAGCUUACACAAAAGAAUAAAAAUCUUUUGCAAUGGGUACAUACUUUACUUGGUGUUGGAUACAUUAGACAAAAUCGAACGACGUUCGAUUGGAUAGCGAAAGAUCAACAUUAUUGUAGAGAAUUACUUGAAAUGAUUCAGGCGUAUUCAAGAGGAAAACAAAAGCAAGUAAAACUUGCUUUAGAAAUUUUACAAGCCUCAAUUACAUCUAAAUCAAAUCUAAUAAAAGUUGCUCAAUUAGCAGAUACUUUAAGCAGUUAUAAUGUUCGAUCGUUUGGUAGACGAAAGAACUAUGCUUCAAAGAUCCAAGAAUAUACUUCCUCUAACGACUGAUUCUAAUUCUACCAAAGGAUUAGAUGAGAUUUGCCAAGAAAUGGUGAAUCAUACGGUUUGCACCUGAAUUCUAUUUGGUGACAAAUGGAAAAAGGUGGUGGAAUAGUCUUACCCCACAAGUAAUUGUGGAAGGUCAGAGGUCCCAAGGGUUGGUCUGUUCGCCCAUUAAAAUGUUACGCGAGCUGGGUUCAGAACGUCGUGAGACAGUUGACCGUUUUAACAUUUGACGGUGACAAUGAGCUGUCUUCCUUCAGCGCUUUGAACUUAAUUGAAAUUACACAUCAGGUCUCUGUUAAUAAAGAAGGACUCCGAAAACGUGUUCGGAGAAUAAAUCUGGCUAUAUGCUGGAAAGACUCAAGUAUCCGACAGUACCGCAAGGUGAAAAUCUGAUCGGUGGAGUUAAUCAGCAGGAAAGAUCCUUUAGAGUAACUAAAGGAAAUCCUCACAGACUAUACGCCGGAGUGCAUUCAGUUUACAUGAACGUACAAGAUAUAGUCGGAACCUUGAAGCGAUUCAAGGAAUUAGCAGGAAUCCACAAUAGAGGUGGAAGGUUGGGAAACCUGCUAAUCGUAUAGAAAUAUAUGCAACAAUAAUGUCGGACUCUAUCCGGUGCAAUCGAGGGAUUUUUGAGGGGAGUUGUGCUCAGUACGAGAGGACCAGCAUGAGGGAACCCCUAGUGUACCAGUUGUUUCGUCAGAAGCAUCGCUGGGUAGCUACGUUCCUAUGGGAUAACCGCUGAAAGCAUCUAAGCGGGAAGCCCACCCCAAGAUUAGAAAUCCAAAGGACUCGUGCAAAGCACGAGAGUUUCCAGUUGCCAUUUUCCAUUUACCAAUUAAUUUGGAAAUUGAAAAAUUGAAAAUUCUCACGCUUUGCGUGAGUCAGACCCGUUGGAGAAUACAACGUUGAUAGGCAAGUGGUGUAAGAUCCGUGAGGAUUUCAGCCUACUUGUACUAAUCGGUCGAUAUGUACAAAAAA